GAUGAACGCUGGCGGCGUGCUUAACACAUGCAAGUCGAACGAUGAAGCCCAGCUUGCUGGGUGGAUUAGUGGCGAACGGGUGAGUAACACGUGAGUAACCUGCCCUUGACUCUGGGAUAAGCGCUGGAAACGGCGUCUAAUACCGGAUACGAGCUUCCACCGCAUGGUGAGUUGCUGGAAAGAAUUUCGGUCAAGGAUGGACUCGCGGCCUAUCAGGUAGUUGGUGAGGUAACGGCUCACCAAGCCGACGACGGGUAGCCGGCCUGAGAGGGUGACCGGCCACACUGGGACUGAGACACGGCCCAGACUCCUACGGGAGGCAGCAGCGGGGAAUAUUGCACAAUGGGCGCAAGCCUGAUGCAGCAACGCCGCGUGAGGGACGAAGGCCUUCGGGUCGUAAACCUCUUUUAGCAGGGAAGAAGCGAAAGUGACGGUACCUGCAGAAAAAGCACCGGCUAACUACGUG
rnacentral:rRNA from 1 species